UCCCUUUGUGGUGUAGUUGGUAUCACACUGGGCUGUGAUGGAAUUUCUCCUUAUGCGGAGCACCAGUUCGACUAUGGUGAGGGAU